CAAACCGGUAAGCUGUACUGCUAUCUGCCCACUCUUCGCUCUCGCUAUCCGGCCGGUCGGCAUUGGCGGUUUUGCCGGUUGCGUUGCCUCGGAAUAUUCAUCUCCGAAUGGCAAGGUCGCCACGUCGUCGUCGUCCCGCAACGCCAACUGUCAUCGGCUCGUGAUCUGAUAGGUAGCCGCUUGCCACCGUUUAUACGAUUCGAAAGGAACAACACGAUUCGAAAGGAAUUCGUUUCUAUCGAUGAACUCGUCAAAGACAGGAAGCAAAUAAAGGAAACCCGAUUGAUUUCCUACGCAAAGGCAAUUAUGGGGUCACGAGGAGCAAUCGAACCGAAUGAAUUCAUAACUUCUCAAAGCUCUAUGGCGAUUCAUUCAUUAGGGGUCGUCCAUAAACCAUGUGGUUAUUGAGGAUUUUAUUCGUGAUCAACAAUUGUUGUCUAAGGUGACAACUACUGGGAUUCUUCUGCAGGUGUGACACCUGCUCAGGUGUUCCACUUUAAAUUCCGCUAAAGGAAUUAUAUAUUCUUAAGAUUCACUAGAGGAGUUUCUCCUUGAAUUUUUUUUAACGUUACGUAAUAAAUGAAAGCAACUUUACUUUUCUUACCCAUUUA